CACAGGUGGUCAGGUAGAGAAUACUAAGGCGAUCGAGAGAAUCAUGGUUAAGGAACUCGGCAAAAUGCCCCCGUAACUUCGGGAGAAGGGGGGCCCCAACCUUGAGCACCACGUGCUGGUGUGAGGGGAUCGGGGCCGCAGAGACCAGGGGGAAGCGACUGUUUAUCAAAAACACAGGUCCAUGCGAAGUCGUAAGACGAUGUAUACGGACUGACUCCUGCCCGGUGCUGGAAGGUUAAGGGGACCCGUUAGCUUCGGCGAAGCGGAGAACUUAAGCCCCAGUAAACGGCGGUGGUAACUAUAACCAUCCUAAGGUAGCGAAAUUCCUUGUCGGGUAAGUUCCGACCUGCACGAAUGGCGUAACGAUGGCGGCGCUGUCUCCACCCGAGACUCAGUGAAAUUGAAAUCGCUGUGAAGAUGCAGUGUAUCCGCGGCUAGACGGAAAGACCCCGUGAACCUUUACUAUAGCUUUGCACUGGACUUUGAAUUUGCUUGUGUAGGAUAGGUGGGAGGCUUUGAAGCAGGCACGCCAGUGUCUGUGGAGCCAUCCUUGAAAUACCACCCUGGUAAUGUUGGGGUUCUAACUCAAGCUUAACAGAGCUGAGGACAAUGUAUGGUGGGUAGUUUGACUGGGGCGGUCUCCUCCUAAAGAGUAACGGAGGAGCACGAAGGUUGGCUAAUCCUGGUCGGACAUCAGGAGGUUAGUGCAAUGGCAUAAGCCAGCUUAACUGCGAGACGGACAGGUCGAGCAGGUACGAAAGUAGGUCAUAGUGAUCCGGUGGUUCUGAAUGGAAGGGCCAUCACUCAACGGAUAAAAGGUACUCUGGGGAUAACAGGCUCAUACCGCCCAAGAGUUCAUAUCGACGGCGGUGUUUGGCACCUCGAUGUCGGCUCAUCUCAUCCUGGGGCUGUAGCAGGUCCCAAGGGUAUGGCUGUUCGCCAUUUAAAGAGGUACGUGAGCUGGGUUUAAAACGUCGUGAGACAGUUUGGUCCCUAUCUGCCGUGGGCGUUGGAAGUUUGAGAGGGGCUGCGCCUAGUACGAGAGGACCGGCGUGGACGCACCACUGGUGUACCGGUUGUCACGCCCGUGGCAUUGCCGGGUAGCUAAGUGCGGAAGAGAUAACCGCUGAAAGCAUCUAAGCGGGAAACUCGCCUCAAGAUGAGACUUCCCUGACAUGAAAGUGUCCUGAAGGGCCGUCCGAGACUAGGACGUUGAUAGGCUGGGUGUGGAAGCGCAGUAAUGCGUGAAGCUAAUCAGUACUAAUUGCCCGUGCGGCUUGACCCU
rnacentral:rRNA from 1 species